AUUGAACGCUGGCGGCAUGCCUUACACAUGCAAGUCGAACGGCAGCACGGGAGCAAUCCUGGUGGCGAGUGGCGAACGGGUGAGUAAUAUAUCGGAACGUGCCCAGUCGUGGGGAUAACGUAGCGAAAGCUACGCUAAUACCGCAUACGAUCUAUGGAUGAAAGCGGGGGAUCGCAAGACCUCGCGCGAUUGGAGCGGCCGAUAUCAGAUUAGGUAGUUGGUGAGGUAAAGGCUCACCAAGCCGACGAUCUGUAGCUGGUCUGAGAGGACGACCAGCCACACUGGGACUGAGACACGGCCCAGACUCCUACGGGAGGCAGCAGUGGGGAAUUUUGGACAAUGGGCGGCAAGCCUGAUCCAGCAAUGCCGCGUGCAGGAUGAAGGCCUGG
rnacentral:rRNA from 1 species